AACGAACGCUGGCGGCAUGCCUAACACAUGCAAGUCGAACGAGACCUUCGGGUCUAGUGGCGCACGGGUGCGUAACGCGUGGGAAUCUGCCCUUUGCUUCGGAAUAACAGUUAGAAAUGACUGCUAAUACCGGAUGAUGUCUUCGGACCAAAGAUUUAUCGGCAAAGGAUGAGCCCGCGUAGGAUUAGGUAGUUGGUGGGGUAAAGGCCUACCAAGCCGACGAUCCUUAGCUGGUCUGAGAGGAUGAUCAGCCACACUGGGACUGAGACACGGCCCAGACUCCUACGGGAGGCAGCAGUGGGGAAUAUUGGACAAUGGGGGCAACCCUGAUCCAGCAAUGCCGCGUGAGUGAUGAAGGCCUUAGGGUUGUAAAGCUCUUUUGCCAGGGAAGAUGAUGACUGUACCUGGAGAAUAAGCCCCGGCUAACUUCGUGCCAGCAGCCGCGGUAAU
rnacentral:rRNA from 1 species